CAAAAACAUCGCCUCUCGAACCAUCAUGAGAGGUACAGCCUGCCCAGUGACCCAAUGUUCAACGGCCGCGGUAUCCUAACCGUGCGAAGGUAGCGUAAUCACUUGUUCUUUAAAUGAGGACUAGUAUGAAUGGCAUCACGAGGAUUAUACUGUCUCCUUUUUCCAAUCAGUGAAACUAAUCUCCCCGUGAAGAAGCGGGAAUUAUUUUAUAAGACGAGAAGACCCUAUGGAGCUUUAAACUAACUAGCAUUUGCUUUAUAACAUAACUUUUCAGAAACCUAAAAACAACUUAGCUCUUUGACUAUAAGUUUUUGAUUGGGGUGAUCACGGAACAAAAAAUAACCUCCGUGCCGAAAGGACUCUUCCUGAGCCAAAAGUGACAACCUUAAGCACUAAAAAAUUAACGCUCAUUGACCCAAUAAUUUGAUCAACGAACCAAGUUACCCUAGGGAUAACAGCGCAAUCUACUUAAAGAGUCCCUAUCGACAAGUAGGUUUACGACCUCGAUGUUGGAUCAGGGUAUCCCAGUGGUGCAGCCGCUACUAAAGGUUCGUUUGUUCAACGAUUAACACC
rnacentral:rRNA from 1 species